GAUGAACGCUGGCGGCGUGCCUAAUACAUGCAAGUCGAGCGAACAGACGGGGAGCUUGCUCCUCUGACGUUAGCGGCGGACGGGUGAGUAACACGUGGAUAACCUACCUAUAAGACUGGGAUAACUUCGGGAAACCGGAGCUAAUACCGGAUAAUAUAUUGAACCGCAUGGUUCAAUAGUGAAAGACGGUUUUGCUGUCACUUAUAGAUGGACCCGCGCCGCAUUAGCUAGUUGGUAAGGUAACGGCUUACCAAGGCAACGAUGCGUAGCCGACCUGAGAGGGUGAUCGGCCACACUGGAACUGAGACACGGUCCAGACUCCUACGGGAGGCAGCAGUAGGGAAUCUUCCGCAAUGGGCGAAAGCCUGACGGAGCAACGCCGCGUGAGUGAUGAAGGUCUUCGGAUCGUAAAACUCUGUUAUUAGGGAAGAACAAAUGUGUAAGUAACUAUGCACGUCUUGACGGUACCUAAUCAGAAAGCCACGGCUAACUACGUG
rnacentral:rRNA from 1 species